GGAAGUGCCAUAGCUCAGUGGUAGAACAUCUGCCUUGCAAGCAGAAGGUUCCAGGUUCAAUUCCUGGCACCUCCA